rnacentral:lncRNA from 1 species
AUGAGGAAGUGAUUCUGAGUGUAGAGAAACAUCCACUGAAGCUGUCAGCUCUGUUUGGUGACAAGGCUGAUUUUCUCCCACACGGAGCUCAGAACAUAUUUAGAGUCAAGAAGACCUGGCACAGUGUUGAAGCAGGCAUGGAAUUAAGAGCAUCUGGUCAGCUUUUUGGAACCCAACCAAAAAUCCUGGACUAUGAAAGACAGAGACCAAAAGAGGAGGAGAAAAAUAAAAUCGAUUAGGAGGAAACAAAGACAACGUAGAAUGAAGAUAACUUAAAAAAUAAAAGUUAAACUAUUAUCAGAGAGGUACUGAAACUGGCCUUGUGGAUCUGUUGGCAGUAUGCACACAGAAAACCUACUAUCCAAAGGGCUGCUGAGAAGCUGUGUACAGACAAAGAGGAAGUGCUGUUAGGUUGGAGCAGUGGAAAGGUCAGAGUAGAGAGAACAAGAACAAUUAGUCUGACGCAGAAGAAUGAUUGCUGGAGAUUUUUUAAAUGGUUGACAUUUGUCUCUCUCUAGUGAUCUAGGUACAUGAUGCCAGUACUUGUAGAAGCAAUAUAUCAACUUGAAAAUACCUUUUUUGAAAAAAUAUGAGGAAUGAAUGCCCAUGGCCUCUCCUAACAAUUUGGUGUGGGCUGUAUCCCACUUCCCAUAAGACUCCGGCCAUUAAAAACAGCCUCAUUCCUGAGCACAGGGAGAUGGACUGUUUAAAUGAAAUGCCCCUGCCCUCCCUAAGCCUCACAGAGACUGUGAAAUGGAAUCCCAUGCCUCCACUUUGGCUUUGCUUUUGGCAGAAAAGCAAAGUGCUUUGCCCAAGGGCAUUUCUUCAGAGAACUUCCAGCGUUGCUUCCAAACCCUUCUUGUCUCACUUCACUGCUUCUGUCUUCCCACUUAGGGCUAUUGACCAGUUGCUGGAGCACUGAUUGCACAUAUGCUCGUAUUGAAAGCAAAUGGUAUCAUGAUCCUGAUAAAAUCUUAUUACAGUCUUAUUUACUAGUUUAAAAAUUUUUUCCUUAGAAAAAUUCUGUUUAAAUUUUUCUGUGCAUGAACAUAUAUCUUGAAUGAAGACAGACUGAAACUUUUGUAAGUCAUGAUUGUGGAAUAUGAAGCUAGAAAAGAUUUUAGACAUCAAAUUGUAACCUUCUUUAAUGGAUGAGAAAACAAAGGUUAAUUCCUGGAUCAUUUCAUUAAGUGGUUUAUAAAGCACAUCAGUGAACUUCUGACCACCACUUAAUCUCAUUCAUUAACUCAUCCAGGUUCAUAAACUGAAAACUACUUUGUAUUCUAUAUUGUCAAAAAAUGAUUGUAG